UUAACCUGUAUCUGUAUUUUCCCUUCCUCUUUACCUACUUCUGCACCUUUACACCUGUAUGGCACAACCACACAACUUUCCAACACUGCGUCAGACUCCACACACACACACACACACACACACACACACACACACACGCACACACACACACACACACACACACACACACAUAGAUAUAUUAAAUUCACAGCACAAUAUCAUAAUUUAUGCGUCAAAUAAUACAACCACAAACACUGUUGGAUCUUUAUUAUUAGUAGUAUUAUUAUUUUUUACUUUUCUGUUAUUUAUUAACAUACUAUUUUAUACAUUUAGAUACUUAUUCCAUCUUAUUCACAUGAAGGUGUCAUAUUUUAGCUACUCACACACACAUCUAUGGGUGCACUAAGAUUUGUCUCAUGGAACGUACAUGGAGCUGGCUCCAUAGAGAAAAGAUUAAAGAUUUUUGAUCAGCUAAAGAGAGUGCAAGCAGACAUAAUAUUGUUACAAGAGACUCAUAGAUCUGCCACAUCCGCAGAUGAACUUAAAACACCUGAGUUUCCCAGCAUGAACCGUCUGCCUGCUAUAACUCUAGGCAAAGAGGUGUAGCUAUUUUAAUACACAAAAACAUCAAUUUCACAGUAUUGGACACAGUCUCUGAUCCAGAGGGUAGAUUUAUAAUGUUAAAAAUAUCUGUACAGAAUCAAAGCUUAUGUAUUGUCAGUAUAUACUGUCCAAAUAUUGAUUUUUUCUCUGUACUCUCCGAACACUUGGACUGUCCACUUAUACUUGGAGGCGAUUUUAAUUUUUGGAUGAACUCUUUAACAGACAGGCUCAGUACAGCUGAGACUCAGCGCAAUUGGCAAUCCACUAAUAUAGUACAUGAGUGAUUAUGGGCUUUGUGAUGCAUGGCGAUCUCUUCAUCCUAACCGUAGAGAGUAUACUUUUUUCUCACACGUCCAUCACUCUCAUUCACGUUUGGAUUAUUUUCUAGUCAGCAGCUCAUUGUUGGCUGACAUUUUAGACACUGAGAUACAUCCCAUAGUUGUCAGCGACCAUGCUCCGGUCUCAUUAACUCUGGUAAAUAAGACGACAAUCCCACCAAGCAAAAACUGGAGGUCUAACACAUCACUGCUCAAAGACGAAGGUUUUAUAGAUUUUUUAAAAAAGGAAUGGGCUUUAUAUUUAGAACAUAAUGACCUGCCUGGAACAUCAGCAUCUAUUCUCUGGGAGGCAGGAAAGGCAGUGAUGAGAGGUAAAAUAAUCUCUUUCUCAUCAUAUAGGAAAAAACAGAAAACAAACGUAUUCAGGAGUUAGAAGAAAUCAUUAAGUCUUUAGAGGCAUCCACAGAAGAAGAGUUAAUGAGCAAAUUACGUAAAGCUAAAUUAGAACUUCAUGGAAUUAUUGACAAAAAGACAAUUUUUAGCACAAAGACUACGAAUAGAAAACUUUGAACAUAGUAAUAAAUCAGGUAAAUUUUUGGCUAGCCAGUUAAAAAUAAAUAAGGAGAAAACUACCAUAUCUGCUGUUAAAGACUCAACCGGGAAUAUAGUUAAUGACCCUGAAAGAAUAAACAACACUUUCAGAGACUUUUACCAAACUUUGUACUCACCACAGAUAAACCCAUCAGAUAACGAGAUCGAUGAGUUCCUUGACAGGAUAACACUUCUUAAAUUAUCAGACAGCCAAGUUACAGUCCUGGACUCGCCACUAGCAUCAGCGGAGCUCCAGAAAGCCCUUAAAUCCAUGACGAAUAGGAAUGCUCCAGGUCCAGACGGGUUCCCAGUAGAGUUCUACAAAGAAUUCUGGAUCAUUCUGGCUCCAAUAUUUUUCAGAAUGGUGAGGGAAAUCGAAGAGAGCGGCAGAUUACAGCCAAACAUGAACUCAGCCAAUAUUAGUCUCUUGUUAAAACCAGGCAAAGACCCUGCAUUUCCUACCAGCUAUCGCCCAAUUUCCCUUAUUAAUGUUGAUCUCAAAAUAAUUUGUAAAGCCCUGGCAAAAAGAUUAGAGAAGAUAACCCCCUUCAUAAUACACCCUGACCAAACUGGUUUCAUUAAGGUAGACAGUCAUCCACAAACUCACGUAGAUUACUUAAUUUGAUAGAUUUCUCUUACAGUAGAAACAUAGAAACUACUAUAUUAUCUCUAGAUGCAGAAAAGGCCUUUGGUAGAGUUAACUGGAAGUUCUUAUUUGCAACUUUACAUAAAUUUGGCUUUGGGAACUUCUUCAUAAACUGGCUACAAACAUUAUACAGUUCGCCAACUGCACGUGUCAGGACGAACGACCAAAUAUCAGCUAGCUUCUGUCUUCAGAGGGGGACCAGGCAGGGAUGCCCACUCUCCCCCUCACUGUUUGCUAUCUUUAUCGAACCACUAGCGGCAGCAAUUAGGCAAACAACAGGUAUUAAAGGGAUAAAGUGUAAGAAAAUAGAACAUAAGAUAAGUCUUUAUGCAGAUGAUGUUUUACUCUUUCUCCGGAAUUCUCAAUCGUCUCUUUCUCAUUCAAUAGAACUGAUAAACUAUUUUUCAAAAGUUUCAGAUUACUCUAUAAACUGGUUAAAAUCCACAGUUCUACCAAUUAAUUUCUCUUUUGUCAAUUUACUUAAUACACAAUUGGAGUCAGGGAAUAUCACAUACCUGGGAAUUAAUGUCUCUCCCAAGUUAGCAGAUCUAACCAAACUAAACUACAUCCCACUUUUAAAGAAAGUGGAAGAUGAUCUUGCAAGAUGGAAAUCCUUACCAAUAUCACUCAUGGGGAGAGUUGCUACAAUUAAAAUGAUGGUCUUACCCAGAAUAAAUUACUUAUUUUCAAUGAUCCCAAACAAACCACCAGUUGACUGGUUUAAAUCUCUGGACUCGUCAAUUACCAAAUUCCUUUGGCAGGGUAAACCUCCACGAAUUAGCUUAAAAAUGCUUCAGAAGACCAAAGACAGAGGAGGACUGGAUUUACCCAACUUUUAUUAUUAUUUCUUAGCCAACAGGCUGCAAUAUAUACCAAGAUGGUUGCAAGAUAACCCACUAGAUGAGUCCUGGUUAGAUAUAGAACAGACACUUUGCAAUACGAUAGAGCUUUCAGACUUACCAUUUAUUAGCUCAAGCAUAAGAAAACAUGAAGGCUUCAAAAGUAUUAGUAUCAGCACCUCUCUGACAGCAUGGUGGGAGUAUCUUAAAAUGACAGAGUCUUCACUAGUACCAUGCAGACGCACACCUAUCUGGAAUAAUCCUGAUAUUUUGCAAAAUAAUAAAAUGAUGAACCUUCCAGACUGGAAAAAUAAAGGAAUCCUAUACCUGGAACACAUAUAUGAAGGAUUGGACUUCAUCCCAUUUAAUAGAAUAGUCUCCCAAUUUGGAAUAGAUAAGAAUAGCUUUUUAGAAUACCACCAAAUUAAAUCUGUAGUAAAACAAAAAUUUAAAGGAGACAUAACAUGAAAAACCCACUUUUUUAUCCAUUAACACAGUGUGUUUCACAUUUUAAGUGUCUAAGUGAGCAAAAAGGCUUAUAUUAUUCACUGGAGUUGCUAUUUAGAUAUUUAAUAAUUAAGUUUUGGGCAUAUUUGUCCACCCGUUCAGUUUUUACAUAAUCUAUUACAUCAGUAAUUAAUUUAGUGAGGAUAACUACCAAAUAUGGUAAUGGCCCUCGGCUAAACACAGAGCCAAUCCGCCAUUUUUUCUUCUCGCUAAGAUUUUUUGUAGUCCUAUUGGAAAAAUGCAGAAUGUCUGGUUAUUUUAGCCACACACAGCUCAAAACUGUUCCUCGUUUUAAGGAAGGGUGGUGUGGCAGUAUUUAAACCCAGGAGCUGAUGACACUACUGCUAAAAAAACACAGAAGAAAAAGUAGUGUGUUUGUGUUUGUGCUUGUGUGUGUGUGUGUGCGCGCGCGCGCGCGGUUCGUUCUUUCGUGUCUUCAGGCUAGUAAGUACUGAGGGCUUCAUCUAUCUAAAAGGAGUCAUUUUUAUCUGAAUGUGGCAGCACCGGGACACAGCAGCAGAGCGGUAAGCUUCAUAUCACUCUAAAAUGUCGACAAACUUUACUUUAGAUUUACGGGCAUUAGCAGCACUAAAGCGUUAGCAUCCGGCUUGCUAUCGCUAGCACAGUAUGCUAGUAAAGUUAGCACCCAGAUUAAUGCGGAUUUGGCUGAUUUUCUUGGAAUAAAACGUGAUUUCUGAUCAACGCCUUCUUUUACACCAGAUGAUAACCUCCCACUGAUUGUAACAGCAGAGAGCCUGUGUGUUAUUCUACGUGAGUGUGAUGUAAUCUUAGCAUCCAGUAAAUAAAGUCCCAUAUCAGCUAAAAUGCAGCGUGACAAAGUCAUUAAAGUGCGUCAACACAGUGGAUUUAAUAGAGUAGUAAGUCUGUCUGCACUGCUCUCUAAUGAGCUUCCUUUCAUAAGGAAUCAUUUGUAUAAUUUUAGUGUCACUAUUUUAUUACAUUUGUAAGAAUAUGAAGUCACUGCAGCAAAGUGAACUUGUGAACAAACACAAACGUGACUAUAAACAUGAAAGCUAAAGAAACGACUUUCCUAAAGCUGCUUGUAAACAAAAUAUGUCAUUAAAGUUAUUGUCUAUCAUUGCAGAAUAUGACGAUGACAUCAUGGAACUGGUCUUUGGAAAAGUUUUCCCUGAACCAACUCCGUUUCUAGAUGAGGACCAGUUUGAAGCCCACAUACUGCCCCUCCCUCAUCAUCAGGAAACAUCAAUCCGUAUCCUGAGGACAACAGAAGACGGCAGGAGGACAGGAACUCUGAGACCUAGACACCACCAGCACCGAGACACAAAUUACCUGUGUGCACAACGCCUGUUUAACUACUAAAGCCUGUUUAACUACUAAAGCCUGUUUAUUAUAUUGUUCUACUUAUUUGCUGUGAGGUUAAUACUUAGAAAAUUUGUAUAUUAAUGUAAACAAUUUAAAAAAAAUCACUGAUUGUAUGUUUUCUUUUAGAUGUAAUGGUCCAAACUCAGCCUUGUAGACAUUUAUUGCAUCCUGUAGGUAAAUACACAGAACAGGCUCAGGUCCAGGAUGACCCAGCAUGCUCUUCUUCCAUUCUGGCUGUUAGGGAUUUUAUCAAUAACUCAAUGCCUACUGAUGUUUUCACCUAACGGUAUUUAUUUAGAAUGCAGGUAAGAUUUAACUAUAUUUGUUAGCAAAGCAGACUGAUCUUGGGAAUUUCACUGCAGCACUGAUGUCCACCUCUCUGUACACAUUAGAGAGAAUUACCACUUUACAGCUAAACACAUUUAAUAAAGAUAUAGGCUACGCAUUGCAGACAAUAAAAACAAAGUUGUAAGCAUUAGAAUUAUAAUGAUCACAUUAAAGAACAUUUGGAGGAA